GCCAUCGACAGCCUGAACAUCACUGGUUUUCCUUUGCUGCAUGGAAACAGCAACUGACUGUGCUUCCUUUCACCUCACAAGAGCACAACAUGGGAGCUGCUGUCCAGCCAUGAAGCCCUGCCCAAGGAGGAGACUCAAAGGAUGAUGCAGCCAAAAUAAAAAUUUCCGUGAGGCUCUCGGCAGAGGCUCAGACAGAUUAAACUCAAU